GAUGAACGCUGGCGGCGUGCCUAAUACAUGCAAGUCGAGCGAACAGACGAGGAGCUUGCUCCUCUGACGUUAGCGGCGGACGGGUGAGUAACACGUGGAUAACCUACCUAUAAGACUGGGAUAACUUCGGGAAACCGGAGCUAAUACCGGAUAACAUGUUGAACCGCAUGGUUUAACAGUGAAAGACGGUCUUGCUGUCACUUAUAGAUGGAUCCGCGCCGCAUUAGCUAGUUGGUAAGGUAACGGCUUACCAAGGCAACGAUGCGUAGCCGACCUGAGAGGGUGAUCGGCCACACUGGAACUGAGACACGGUCCAGACUCCUACGGGAGGCAGCAGUAGGGAAUCUUCCGCAAUGGGCGAAAGCCUGACGGAGCAACGCCGCGUGAGUGAAGAAGGUCUUCGGAUCGUAAAACUCUGUCAUUAGGGAAGAACAAAUGUGUAAGUAACUAUGCACGUCUUGACGGUACCUAAUCAGAAAGCCACGGCUAACUACGUG
rnacentral:rRNA from 1 species